rnacentral:rRNA from 1 species
UGAGGAAUAUUGGACAAUGGGUUAGCGCCUGAUCCAGCCAUCCCGCGUGAAGGACGACGGCCCUAUGGGUUGUAAACUUCUUUUGUACAGGGAUAAACCUACCUUCGUGAGGGUAGCUGAAGGUACUGUACGAAUAAGCACCGGCUAACUCCGUG